AUGGGUGGCAUAGGCAAGACAACACUUGCUCAUCAUGUUUAUAGUUCUGUCAAGGAUAAUUUUGACAUUUGUGCUUGGGUUACAGUAUCACAUAGCUCUGAAGCAGAUGAUCUGCUGAGGAAAAUAGCUGUGCAGUUGCGCAAGAAUGAUCGGACAAAGAAGUUUCCCAAGGACGUUGAUGUAACAGACUGUAGAAGCCUAGUGAAGGCGAUCUGCUGUUACCUCGAGCACAAAAGGUACAUUGUUGUUCUGGACGAUGUGUGGAAUGUGAAUAUGUGGUUUGAUUGUAGAGAUGCUUUUCUUCAUGGCAAGGGCCGCAUACUGUUUACAUCAAGGAUUUAUGAGGUUAGUUUGGGAGAUGUGCCACAUAGUGUUAGAAGUUGUUUUCUGUACUGUUGCAUGUUCCCAGAGAAAUAUGUGAUGCAGAGAAAAUCUCUAGUAAGACUUUGGGUUGAACAAGGGUUUGUUGAAGAGAGUGAACAUAAGACACUCGAGGAGGUGUCUGAGGAUUAUCUAACCGAACUAAUCCACCGGUGUCUAUUGCUGGUAGUCAAGAGGAAUGACUCUGGAUGUGUAUAUGAAGUUCAAAUGCACGACAUCUUCUGUGUUUUAGCUCGUUCCAAGGCACGUGAAGAGAACUUUUGCGGUGCCUAUAACCCCUUGAAAAUUCAUGCCAUCAGAGAAGCACGACGUGUAUCAACUGAAACAGGGGAUAUUGCUCUGUUGGCACAGAGUGCUCCGCAUCUCCGCUCAUUGCUUGUCUUCCACAGUUCGUUUAGCUUCAUUUCACUCCGUUCACUAGCAAUGAGUAAUAAGUUGUUAUCCGUUUUGAACCUGCAAGAUAGUUCAAUUACGAGGCUACCAGCAGAGGUGUUUGGCUUGCGUAAUCUGCGACUAAAAAAUUUGCUGGUGUUGGAUGCCUGGAAGUGUGAAAUAAUGAAGCUACCAUCGCAAGUUAUGAAGCUCAGUAAGUUGACACAUCUUAUUGUGACUUCCAAGCAUGUUGGACCAUCAUUGCAGUUUGUUCCUUCUGUUGGUGUACCAGCUCCUGCUGGUAUAUGCUCUUUGACUAGCCUGCAGACACUUCUACAGAUGGAAGCUAGUGCUGAAAUGAUCCGUGCCAUGGGAGCUCUCGUGGAGUUGAGAACAUUCCGUAUCAGCAAAGUGCAAGGUUGCCAUUGUGAAGAUCUGUUCAAGGGUAUUGGCAGAAUGAUUCAUCUUACCCGUCUCGGAAUCCAGGCAGAUGAUAAUCAGGAAAUUUCGCAUCUCAAAGCAUUUCAGGCACCUCCCUUGCUUCAGAAGCUUUUCUUGCUUGGUGCACUAUCCAAGGAAUCCUUGCCUAAUUUCUUCACAGCACUUAGUAAACUGAAGAACCUCAAAUUUCUGAGGCUUGUUGGCUCACGGCUUAACAACGACGCUUUUCUGUAUCUUAAGGGAUUGGAGCAUCUAGUUAAGCUUCAACUUUAUCAUGCGUAUGCUGGUGAUAAGUUGUACUUUCCUGCAGCAUCAUUUCCGAAGCUCAGGCUCCUGCUCUGCCCACAGCUGAAGAUGCUGCCAGAUGGUAUUGAACAUGUGAGGACUCUUGAAGAACUGACUUUGGACGUGGCAGAAGAACUGAUUGACAGGGUUUGGCAGAAGAAAGAGAGGAGGAUUUUUCAUAUCCAACGAGUUUAUGUUGGGCCUCAGAGCUUACCGGUAUUAUAA
rnacentral:rRNA from 1 species